UACAGAGGUCUCAAGCGUUGUUCGGAUUCAUUGGGCGUAAAGGGUGCGUAGGCGGCGCGGUAAGUCGGGUGUGAAAUCUUGGAGCUUAACUCCGAAACUGCAUUCGAUACUGCCGUGCUUGAGGACUGGAGAGGAGACUGGAAUUUACGGUGUAGCGGUGAAAUGCGUAGAUAUCGUAAGGAACACCAGUGGCGAAAGCGGCUUCCUGGUCCAGCAACGACGUUCAGGCACGAAAGCGUGGGAGCAAACAGG
rnacentral:rRNA from 1 species